rnacentral:rRNA from 1 species
GACGAGCGCUGGCGGCGUGCCUAAUACAUGCAAGUCGAACGCUUUUUCUUUCACCGGAGCUUGCUCCACCGAAAGAAAAAGAGUGGCGAACGGGUGAGUAACACGUGGGUAACCUGCCCAUCAGAAGGGGAUAACACUUGGAGACAGGUGCUAAUACCGUAUAACACUAUUUUCCGCAUGGAAGAAAGUUGAAAGGCGCUUUUGCGUCACUGAUGGAUGGACCCGCGGUGCAUUAGCUAGUUGGUGAGGUAACGGCUCACCAAGGCAACGAUGCAUAGCCGACCUGAGAGGGUGAUCGGCCACACUGGGACUGAGACACGGCCCAGACUCCUACGGGAGGCAGCAGUAGGGAAUCUUCGGCAAUGGACGAAAGUCUGACCGAGCAACGCCGCGUGAGUGAAGAAGGUUUUCGGAUCGUAAAACUCUGUUGUUAGAGAAGAACAAGGAUGAGAGUAAAAUGUUCAUCCCUUGACGGUAUCUAACCAGAAAGCCACGGCUAACUACGUGCCAGCAGCCGCAGUAA